rnacentral:tRNA from 1 species
AGCGCGAUGGCCGAAUGGUUAAGGCGUUGGACUUAAAAUCCAAAGGACGCAUGUCUUCUUGGGCUCGAACCCCACUCGCGCUA